UAGUGUGAACGUGCUAGGGAAUAGUUACCUAUUUGAACGUUACAAUUUUUGUGCUUAGCAGGUGUUUAAGGUAUUUUUGUUAAGAAGUGCUAAUUGCUAGAUAAAAUAUAAAAUCUGGUUAUUCGAAAGCUGACUUGUAAUUUUCUAUAAAAAGGAUUUAUUCAGGGAUGGCUCAUACGGCAACCAGAUAGAUUAUUCCACAUGUGGAAGAUCCUCCCCUGAAGCACUUCGUGAUGCACAAAGAAGCUUCUUCCAGUAACACAAUUCUUCAUAAAUUCUUUUCCAUGCUGUUAUGGUAA